AAUGAACGCUGGCAGCAUGCCUAACACAUGCAAGUCGAACGAAGGCUUCGGCCUUAGUGGCGCACGGGUGCGUAACGCGUGGGAAUCUGCCCUCAGGUUCGGAAUAACAGCGAGAAAUUGCUGCUAAUACCGGAUGAUAUCGCGAGAUCAAAGAUUUAUCGCCUGAGGAUGAGCCCGCGUAGGAUUAGCUAGGUGGUGUGGGAAAGGCGCACCAAGGCGACGAUCCUUAGCUGGUCUGAGAGGAUGAUCAGCCACACUGGGACUGAGACACGGCGCAGACUCCUACGGGAGGCAGCAGUGGGGAAUAUUAGACAAUGGGCGAAAGCCUGAUCCAGCAAUGCCGCGUGAGGGAUGAAGGCCUUAGGGUUGUAAAGCUCUUUUACCCGGGAUGAUAAUGACAGUACCGGGAGAAUAAGCUCCGGCUAACUCCGUGCCAGCCGCCGCGGUAA
rnacentral:rRNA from 1 species